rnacentral:rRNA from 1 species
AACGAACGCUGGCGGCAGGCUUAACACAUGCAAGUCGAACGCCCCGCAAGGGGAGUGGCAGACGGGUGAGUAACACGUGGGAACGUACCUUUUGGUUCGGAAUAACGCAGAGAAAUUUGCGCUAAUACCGAAUGAGCCCUUCGGGGGAAAGAUUUAUCGCCGAAAGAUCGGCCCGCGUUGGAUUAGGUAGUUGGUGUGGUAAAGGCGCACCAAGCCUACGAUCCAUAGCUGGUCUGAGAGGAUGAUCAGCCACACUGGGACUGAGACACGGCCCAGACUCCUACGGGAGGCAGCAGUGGGGAAUCUUGCGCAAUGGGCGAAAGCCUGACGCAGCCAUGCCGCGUGAAUGAUGAAGGUCUUAGGAUUGUAAAAUUCUUUUACCAGGGACGAUAAUGACGGUACCUGGAGAAAAAGCCCCGGCUAACUUCGUGCCAGCCGCCGCCGUAAAAC